GAUGAACGCUGGCGGCGUGCUUAAUACAUGCAAGUCGAACGGAGAUAGUAGCAAUAUUAUCUUAGUGGCGAACGGGUGAGUAACGCGUUGGUGACCUGCCCCGAAGAGAGGGAUAGCAGUUCGAAAGGACUGAUAAUACCUCAUGUGGUUGUUGGUUUUAGAAUCUGACAACUAAACGGAUUUAUUCGCUUCGGGAGGGGCCUGCGUCCCAUCAGCUAGUUGGUAGGGUAAUGGCCUACCAAGGCGAUGACGGGUAGGGGACCUGAGAGGGUGGCCCCCCACAAUGGAACUGAAACACGGUCCAUACGCCUACGGGUGGCAGCAGUAGGGAAUAUUGGUAAUCUGCGAAAGCGGGAACCAGCAACGCCGCGUGCACGAUGAAGGCCUUCGGGUCGUAAAGUGCUUUUAGAGAGGAUGAGGAAGGACAGUACUUUCUGAAUAAGCCUCGACUAACUACGUGCCAGCCGCCGCCGUAAAAC
rnacentral:rRNA from 1 species